GAUGAACGCUGGCGGCGUGCUUAACACAUGCAAGUCGAACGGAAAGGCCAGUGCUUGCACUGGUACUCGAGUGGCGAACGGGUGAGUAACACGUGGGUGAUCUGCCCUGCACUUCGGGAUAAGCCUGGGAAACUGGGUCUAAUACCGGAUAGGACAAUGGUUUGGAUGCCGUUGUGGAAAGUUUUUUCGGUGUGGGAUGAGCUCGCGGCCUAUCAGCUUGUUGGUGGGGUAAUGGCCUACCAAGGCGUCGACGGGUAGCCGGCCUGAGAGGGUGUACGGCCACAUUGGGACUGAGAUACGGCCCAGACUCCGACGGGAGGCAGCAGUGGGGAAUAUUGCACAAUGGGAGCAAGCCUGAUGCAGCGACGCCGCGUGGGGGAUGACGGCCUUCGGGUUGUAAACUCCUUUCGCUAGGGACGAAGCGUAUUUGUGACGGUACCUGGAGAAGAAGCACCGGCUAACUACGUG
rnacentral:rRNA from 1 species